CUAGAAGUAACAUCACAGUACCCCAUAUCAAGUUAAACUUCCAAAUUAAUAAUUUAUAAUGCAUGAUAAUAUUCCAUGGUUAAUAUUCCUUUACUUAAUUUUAUCAAAAUCUUAUUUAAUCAUAACCUGAAAUACAAAUUACUCCAUCAAGAAAACUCCCUCAAAAUAGUUUAUUCACACUUCGGUUACGACCAUAAUUAGGUUGCA
rnacentral:lncRNA from 1 species